rnacentral:rRNA from 1 species
UACGAAGGGGGCUAGCGUUGCUCGGAAUCACUGGGCGUAAAGCGCACGUAGGCGGAUUGCUAAGUCAGGGGUGAAAUCCUGGAGCUCAACUCCAGAACUGCCUUUGAUACUGGUGAUCUUGAGUCCGGGAGAGGUGAGUGGAACUGCGAGUGUAGAGGUGAAAUUCGUAGAUAUCGAGAGGAACACCGGUGGCGAAGGCGGCGAUCUGGACAGUGACUGACGCUGAGACGCGAAAGCGUGGGGAGCAAACAGG